rnacentral:rRNA from 1 species
UUGCCUACGGGACGCAGCAGUGAGGAAUAUUGGUCAAUGGGCGAGAGCCUGAACCAGCCAAGUCGCGUGAGGGAAGACGGUCCUAUGGAUUGUAAACCUCUUUUGCCGGGGAGCAAAAAGCGGUACGUGUACCGCAUCGAGAGUACCCGGAGAAAAAGCAUCGGCUAACUCCGUGCCAGCAGCCGCGGUAAUACGGAGGAUGCGAGCGUUAUCCGGAUUUAUUGGGUUUAAAGGGUGCGUAGGCGGUCCGGAAAGUCAGCGGUAAAAGCCCGGGGCUCAACCCCGGCGAGCCGUUGAAACUGUCG